UUUCCUUUUGAUUGAGUAAAAUUGAGAGAUGUAAUAAAAUAUAAUUUGAGAGACCCAACCUUCCUGGAGAUAAUAUCCUGAAUAGGGUUAACACUUCUCCUUGAUGAUCCAGUUUCUAUGUCGAUUCUCUUUGAGGGUUGCGAGUAUUUUGCGGAGCUGAUCUUAAGGCGAUCGGACGUAACUGAACGCAGUUCAAUGUAUUAACUUUCUCAAAGAAAAAUGGUAUCAUAUUUUUAUUACAAGGCGAGGAGUCUACAACGUGUUCAAUAAGUGUUAAAGACAAAAUAUUUGGUAAGAAUAAAAUUUUAAACACUAUUUAGUUGAUCUACGAGAAGAAAGUUUUUUCUGUUCAAAGAAAAAAUAUGUGCAGUCGUAUCGUUUAUUACGUCGCAAAAAAUC